rnacentral:rRNA from 1 species
AACGGUGAGUGAAGCGGCAACAGCUCAAAUUUGAAAUCUGGCCCCGUCGGGGUCCGAAUUGUAAUUUGUAGAGAGUGCUUCGGGCGAGGCCUCGGUCUAAGUCCAUUGGAACAUGGUGUCAUAGAGGGUGAGAAUCCCGUAUGCGACCGUGGCUCGAGCCCAUGUGAAGCCUCUUCGACGAGUCGAGUUGUUUGGGAAUGCAGCUCAAAAUGGGUGGUAAAUUUCAUCUAAAGCUAAAUACCGGCUGGAGACCGAUAGCGCACAAGUAGAGUGAUCGAAAGAUGAAAAGCACUUUGGAAAGAGAGUCAAACAGUACGUGAAAUUGUUGAAAGGGAAGCGCUUGCAACCAGACCUGCCCGUAGGCGAUCAGCCGCUGUUCUCAGCGGUGUACUCGCUCUGCGAUCAGGCCAGCAUCGGUUUCGGCGGUUGGAUAAAGGCCUUGGGAAUGUAGCUUCCCUUCGGGGGAGUCUUAUAGCCCUCGGUGCAAUGCGGCCAGCCGGGACCGAGGACCGCGCUUCGGCUAGGAUGCUGGCGUAAUGGUUGUAAGCGACCCGUCUUGAAACACGGACCAAGGAGUCUAACAUCUAUGCGAGUGUUUGGGUGUCAAACCCAUGCGCGGAAUGAAAGUGAACGGAGGUGAGAACCCUGGAGGGCGCAUCAUCGACCGAUCCAGAUGUCUUCGGAUGGAUUUGAGUAUGAGCAUAGCUGUUGGGACCCGAAAGAUGAUGAACUAUUCCUGAAUAGGGUGAAGCCAGAGGAAACUCUGGUGGAGGCUCGCAGCGGUUCUGACGUGCAAAUCGAUCGUCAAAUUUGGGUAUAGGGGCGAAAGACUAAUCG